rnacentral:rRNA from 1 species
AACGAACGUUAGCGGCGCGCCUAACACAUGCAAGUCGCACGAGAAAGGGCUUCGGCCCCGGUAAAGUGGCGCACGGGUGAGUAACACGUGGGUAAUCUGCCCUCGAGCGGGGGAUAACAUUACGAAAGGAGUGCUAAUACCGCAUAAGACCACGACCUCGAAAGAGGACGGGGUAAAAGCUGGCCUCUAUACAUAAUCUAGCACUUACGGAUGAGCCCGCGUCGAAUCAGGUAGUUGGUGAGGUAACGGCUCACCAAGCCUAAGACGCGUAGCUGUCUUGAGAGGAUGAGCAGCCACACUGGAACUGAGACACGGUCCAGACUCCUACGGGAGGCAGCAGUGGGGAAUCUUGCGCAAUGGGCGAAAGCCUGACGCAGCGACGCCGCGUGAGUGAUGAAGGCCUUCGGGUUGUAAAGCUCUGUGGGGAGAGACGAAUAAGUGCCGCCUAAUACGUUGCAUGAUGACGGUAUCUCCUUAGCAAGCACCGGCUAACUCUGUGCCAGCAGCCGCAGUAACAC